rnacentral:rRNA from 1 species
AGUGAACGCUGGCGGUAGGCCUAACACAUGCAAGUCGAACGGCAGCACAGUAAGAGCUUGCUCUUACGGGUGGCGAGUGGCGGACGGGUGAGGAAUACAUCGGAAUCUACUUUUUCGUGGGGGAUAACGUAGGGAAACUUACGCUAAUACCGCAUACGACCUACGGGUGAAAGCAGGGGAUCUUCGGACCUUGCGCGAUUGAAUGAGCCGAUGUCGGAUUAGCUAGUUGGCGGGGUAAAGGCCCACCAAGGCGACGAUCCGUAGCUGGUCUGAGAGGAUGAUCAGCCACACUGGAACUGAGACACGGUCCAGACUCCUACGGGAGGCAGCAGUGGGGAAGAUUGGACGAUGGGCGCAAGCCUGACCCAGCCAUACCGCGUGGGUGAAGAAGGCCUUCGGGUUGUAAAGCCCUUUUGUUGGGAAAGAAAAGCAGCAGGUUAAUACCCCGCUGUUCUGACGGUACCCAAAGAAUAAGCACCGGCUAACUUCGU